rnacentral:tRNA from 1 species
GGAGAGGUGACCGAGUGGCCGAUGGUGCAGCACUGGAAAUGCUGUGUGCCUUUACCGGCACCGUGGGUUCAAAUCCCACCCUCUCCGCCA